rnacentral:lncRNA from 1 species
GAAAGAUGUAAUUCUCAAUGUCCACCACCAUUUGAACACUUGGCCGAAGCAAGAGACUGGACCACUGAAGUUAGAUGGUUAAUCUUCAUGUCCAGCUCAUUAAGCUUCUUCAAUAUUGCCCUCUGCACAGCUCAACACACUCAAUGUGUGGUCCCCAAAGCAUCCUCUUGCUCGUUUCCAUCAGACAUGCUCACUGGAAAAGCUGGUGUUGAGAAAGGUCAAGUUGCCAAAUGAAAUGCUGAAGUAUUUACCUGAAGUGAGACAAACAACUUAUGUGGUGCUCUGUCUCGUUUGAAAUGCCUGAGCAUAGAAAACGUGUCCUCUGUUGGGUUGUACAGAAAAUGUUGAAGUAGUGUUGAGGUUUAUCCCAAGUGUCCUGUGGCUCCACUUCCUGGCAGAACCUCACAGAUAUUUCAGAUUCAGAGAUAUUGGAAGUGUACCAAGAUUGUAUUCAUUUUUGGGAAAUCUUGUCAAAAGAUGCUGAAAGAAACAAAAGGCUACCAUGAGUGACCCUCUGAGUACUAAAACUUUGCUACAGAUCCGGUACUUUCUUCAUGAAGGAGCUCCACCAAGAGAGCUGGACUGGUCCUGAGAUGACAUCAACUUGGUAGAUGCCAAGUGCGGAGGAUGGAAGGGGAUAGUCAAAAAAGAGUUCAUGUUUGCUGAAGGUAGUGUAGGUCACGUAAAUGUCAUCAUUUUCUGAAAAUAUGUUUUCUAGCUUUGAAACCUUUCCAUUAAUGUAGACAAAACGGUUUGCCUGGUUUAAUUUCAGAGUGUAUGACUCUGUUUGUAGUUCUUUGAACUGUGAAGCUCCAACAAAUGACUCCGGUAGAGGGCCAGCAGCAUGCGGUUUUCUGAGCACUGGUGCCUUGUUUUUGUCUCUUUUUUUGUUACAGGUGUGCAGUUCUGAGAACCUUCUCACGACUUGACUUAACGGACAUGAAGGUUUUCGUAGAAGUUUCUUCAGCUUGUUAAGGUGAUUCUCGUAAAUGAACGCACUGAAAUUGUCAAGGACACCAUGGUGUUUUGCAUCUUCU